CAGCGUCACAAGUGGGAAUCACGAUUAUUGGGCCUAAAGCAUCCGUAGCCGGCGCUGUAAGUUUUCGGUUAAAUCUGUACGCUCAACGUACAGGCUGCCGGGAAUACUGCAGCGCUAGGGAGUGGGAGAGGUAGACGGUACUCGGUAGGAAGGGGUAAAAUCCUUUGAUCUAUUGAUGACCACCUGUGGCGAAGGCGGUCUACCAGAACACGUCCGACGGUGAGGGAUGAAAGCUGGGGGAGCAAACCGGAUUAGAUACCCGAGUAGUCC
rnacentral:rRNA from 1 species